AUGUAGCAGUUUUUCACUUUCGGCGACUUUCCUCGUUCAAUUUGGUUGUGGUGUAGUUUUCCAAACAAAUAUGAUCAAUUUCGGUCACUUUCUGUUUUCGUCACAACCUCCUUGAGUGAGUGAAGUAGCGAAAGAUAAUUCAUCUGCCGUAAU
rnacentral:precursor_RNA from 11 species